CCUUCAUAUAGGUUGGUGGUGAGGCUCAUCAGACCCAUCUUUGACAAGCCGAAGUCUGUGAGUUUGAUGUGGCCCAUUGAGGUAAUCAGGAGACUGUAUGAAGAGAAGACAACAGGCAUUAAUAAUAUCUGCUCCUGCACCAUAAUCAAUACGCCCGUUGGCUGACCCGCUCACAGCCUGCAGCAGUACCUUCAACAUACUCCAUGACCAUGCAGAGAUGCCGCCGCGUUUCAAAGGAGCAGAACAUGGAGACGACGAACGGAUUCUCCGCAAAGUCUAAAAACACGCCGCACGGGGUUCAGCGUCUUGCCCAAGGACGCGCGGAUGAAGGUGGGACGGGAUAUUGAAGUGACAACCUUGGGACUGGAAGACAACCUGCUCCAUCAUCUGAGGCACAGCCUGCCGUAAAAUAAUCACUUCCUGUUGUGAUGCGGAUCCUCGAGGGUCUCUGGUCAGCCCCAGCUGACUGAUGAUAUAUCGGGGGAUGUCCGUCUUCAUCAGUUGUCCCUCCUUGGCGUGAUCCUCCGCCGCCUCCAGCAGAUGGUAGAACUCUUCCGGGUUGAACUCCUGUUAUUAAAA